CUUCAAACUGUCAGUGUUGGACCAUGAUAGAGCCGGCCCCGCCCUGGACUUGGGCUUUUAGGCCUGGUCCAGAGAGGGCCAGGGUUGGGACUCGCCUAAAUACUUAUCGUUCCACCGGUCGAAGGAGGGCCGGUCCAUUACCAGCUCUAUUUAGUAAUCAUAAACCCUAGAAUGGAAUCUCUAUUCAGGAGUCAUAAACCCUGGAAUUAAGCGUCAUUCUCGACGCUGGUUGAACUGCUCAUCUCUCACUCUCUGCGACCAGAAGCUCCCUCUAUCUACCGAUGCCCCUCCCCUCUCUCUCAGCCCUGCCGAGCCGCUCCUUUAUCCCCCUGCAACCCCAAGUUUUAUCUCUCUACCCUUUCACUCUCUUAUUCAACCCCAGUCGAGCCCCUCGUUUUACAGAUAGAGAGAGAGAGAGCCCCUCGUUUUUCUCACGCCCUUAUUUCCUCUCUCUGUAACCUCCUUUUUCUAUUCAUAUCCCUCUUCUUGUUGCUGUCUCUCUCUCUCUCUAUCUGUCUUGCUCUCUUUCUUCAAGCUGUAGCCCUUAUUUGUUGUCCCCAUCCCUCAUAUUUUUCCGUCCUCUCUCAUCAAGCCCUCAGCGAAAUUUCAGAUAUCCAUGUUUGCACAAAUGGGAAAUUGCCAGCAGCGGACUUCCUCUGUUUUUCCAAAAGAGGAAGUGCAGAAAAAUUAGUUAUGUAUGAUCUAGAGAGAGGACACCAUAUUUCAGAGAGAAAAUUUGGAGAGAAGUAAUUUAGAGAGAAGGAUGUACUCCUCAAUACCUUAUCGAAGAAGCAGGAAGUGGACUCCAUCAUCAGAGAUACCCUACCCUUGCAAAGUUCUCGUUCUUCAAUUUGGCAGGCCCCUGCAUGUAUCCGACUUUACUAAAUGAUAGUGGAAUGUGGCCUGAUGAUUAGUCACUUCGCUUUUAUAUGCUUUUUUCUGACGAUCAGGUGUUGGUUUUCCAUUGAUGCAAAAAUGAUGGAGUCCAAGGUAGAUUAAUGACGGAUCUGGUGUUAGGUUUCUAUUGAUGCAAAAAAAGUUGGAGUUCAAGGUAGAUUAGUCGCGGAUCUGCCCAGAUUUUAGGCACACUGAAUUCUCUCUCUCUCUCUCUCUCUCUCUCCAUAUCUCUUUGGUGUCAUAGUGAAAGAGGUAGGGGCCUUUGUUGUUGUUUUCUUCUUUAUUUUGCCUCUUUCAUCCAGCCUCCCUAUCUUGUUUUCUUCGCUUAUUUUAUUGGUGACACUCAAUGUUGUUCACUAACACCCAACUUUUCAAAACUUUUUCUCAUUAGUUUUCCAUCUUGAUAUUCACAUUGAGUUUUUUUCCUCUUGUUUCUGCCUAUCUCUGAUUUACACCAUCUUUGUUUUUCUGUUAUUGCUUUCCUCAAAUUACUUAUUUUAUCAUGAAUAUUAGGAAUCUUUCCAUUUUAUUUCAUGUGAUCUACUUUCUGGAUCUAUUUUCAUCCUUUUUGUCUUUGAUCUGAUCUUUUUUUUUUAAUAUUAAAUUUCUGUUUUUUGGUGUGGUGAUGAUGCCAAUUGUGGAGUAGAGUGCAUAUAUAGUAUGUGCACUAUUUUUUGAAAGAAUAUUGUAUAUGCAUUACUGUUUUUUGCAUUUGAAUCAUAGAGAAAAUGAAAAUAAAAUACUCUGUAUUUGUUUAUGCGCCCUUUACCAAUUUUGGGGGCUUGAUUUGUGGUUCCCCCAGAUGUAAUGGCUUGGGCGCCAUACUAACUUUUGUGGCUAUUCUGAACGAUGGCGUUUUUCUGUUGCUGUUGUCCUGGGAAACUCCACAGACACUCUUUUUUUGUUUGCCCUUUAUCUUUAUUUUGAUAAUUUUGUAUUGUAGGCACCAUCCCUUUUACAUAUUUACAGUAUCUAGGGUUUUUGAUUAUAUUGUGUGUCCCAUCCCUUUCCAUAUUCACACUGUCUAGAGUUUUAGACUUUUCUUGUGUCCUUUAUUAAUGUUUCACUGUUGGAAUCGAUUUUGGGAGGGAGUUGUGUGGCACAGAGUUAUGAGGAAGGAAUAUAGCUUGUUCGAAUGUUUGAGAGCAUUGGUUACAGCAGGUAGUGCUUUUGAUAUGCUCCCUUGCAUGAAACGGUUUAUGUUCUUAGCUAUUGCAGUUUGGAAUCAAAUAGAUUACGGCUGAGGAACUUUAGAAUAGGAUGAAUGAGCAGUGGCCUUGAGCACAACCACAUUUGUCGAUAAUUCAGUGGUGUGGCUAUUCCCGUCAUUCUUGUUUGGCAAAUCUGGCCGGUAGCAUACUUCCAAUAAAAAAAAUCCCACACUAGUACACAUCAACGGGUGAAAAUAAUUCGUUGUUGUCAUACCACAAACUGUUUUUUUGUUUCGUUUUGAGUAAAUUUAUGGAAAAGAGUCUAGCACCGGUUGAAUAAAAAUGUGUGGCAAACAGGGGAGACUACAAAAUUAUUUUAAUUUGCAUCAAAUAAAUUAUAAUCUCAUGAGUUUUCCAUGUGUUAAUAUGCUUUUUUAUGUGUUUCAUAUUUUGAUUGAUUAUUUAUGCAGAUUAGUACGUUUUAGGUAUAUAGUUGCAAAUGGACUGUACAAUUUGGAUGCUUCUGCCACUUCUUAUACUUAGACGAACUCUUUUGUGAAACUUAUAUUGAAGAUGAUGUUUUCUUUUCAAUGCAUGUGAAUAAGCGAGCCUCUAAUCAUUUUUAUGUUAAGGAGCAUGAAUUGUAGUGAGAAAAUUAAUUGGCUAGAAAGUAUUGCAAUAUUGUAGUUUUACGCAUGGUGUUUUUUAGCAAAGGGAUUGUCUUUGAUAUUUUUCUAAUGGUUGCUUAAAUAGAUAUGAUGUUGACUUGAAGUUUUGAUUAAAUGAUGCUUGUAAAUAUCUCAUUUUAUUAUGCUCUAAAGAGGAAUAUCAGAAUAUGUAAAAGCACAAAUUAGAUAUUAGUCACACGCCCAACCAUAAGCAUGGUUUACUUUACUUCUAGUUAAGUGCUUGUCUCUAAGGAUUAAAAUUUUUAGCUUGUGAGCUAAAUGUGUUCCUUGUGAUGUGAAUGAUAAAAUUAUUCUCCUAUUGGCUUUUUCCGGGUUUUGCAGGUAUUGGGUUUCCAUUGAUGCAAAAAAUUGGUGGAUCCGCAUGUUUUUGUGUUGCCUUGGAUUCUUUCCCUCCCUCCCCCUCUCUCUGUUAUAAAGUGAAAAAGUACUGUGGUAUUUGAUGAGGAUGAAGAUUGCAGAUGAAGUCAGCAUGUAAUUUCAAAAGGAUGAGGAAUUUUGAGUAUGCAUAAUGUAGUGUGUUUUAAAGACAAGCAUUUUGAGUAUUUAAAUAAUGUAUUGAAUUAUUUUUAUUUUUAGUAAGGGACUUGUAAAUGGACCCAUUGAAGUUGUAAUUUCUAGUUUUUAAGGUUUGUAUAAGUCUAGCUUGUGGGUUGGUUGGAAUUUGUAUAUUACAGUUUUGUUAUGAAGCUUUUGUGUAUUCAAAACUUCAUGGUUUCAAAAAAGUGGAAAAUUUAUAAAUUGAGUUUCCAGCUCAUUGGUCUUAUAUAACCAACGAAUGGUAUCAAAGCACGAUUCUAAUAUUGUCCUUCUGUCGUUUAGUUUGGUCUAAAAGUAUGAUUUUCAAAGUGUGUAAGCACUUGAUCACGAAUGCCAAAGUGUAUGUGCCUUAAUUCUAGAAAAUUUAUAGUGUCAAUGGCAUGAGAAUUAUGACUUGCAAUUUUGAGAACUGCUCACUGGUUUAGACAUAGUGGUAGGACCUUCAUAUAAAAUGUUGAUAUUCUAUGGUAUUUUGUGUUUUUGAGUGUAGUUUCAUAAGGAAAACGUCCCAUGAUCAAAUCAUGUAUAUUUUGAAAGUUAUUAACAGUUUGUUGGAGUGUGCUAGUUUUGUGAAAUGAGUUUCCAAGAACUUGACACCUUUUUGCGUUAGGGGGUUUUAAGCAAUCAAAACAUAUGAUAUUGAGUUAGGGCCGACUUAUACUUUUUAGGAGUUGUGUCUAGUUUUAUGUGAAUUUGAGAUCAUAGAAAAAUUCUUCAUAUUUUAUGAGAUAUGGUCGUUUGAUCAGAAGUAAGUCAAACUGCAAUUUUUGCUACACUGUGCAGAAAUUGACCAAGGCCUUCUUGAUCAGUUAUUUCGUAUUACCCCCUAAUGUAAUUUGUUUCAUUUUGAGUGUAUUGUAACUAGGAAUAUGUCUCAUGAGUAAAUUUUGAAUAGUUUUAAAGUUAUGCCCAUAGAAGUGGGUCGUGCUCAUCUUGUAAAUCUAGAAAAACUGCAUGAACAAUGUCCUAGGUGUAAGUAGGGUGCGAGUACCUUACACUCUUGUAAUCCAACUAUGGAGCAUUAGUUGUUAGAAGUUUUUAUGACUUCAUAGGGUGUAUUAGAUCAGUGAGAGUGUUGUAUAAACCUUACUGAACCAUGUGCAUAAGAUUUAAUACUCGAUACCCGAGUCUUGGUCUAGAUCUGAGCUACUCUCGGAUAGUGUAUGCUGAUAUUGUCAACAAAGCCAAAUACACUUUAGGAUAAAUGAGACCAUGCGUACAGUAACAAAAGGGAGAAAGAAAUGGUGUAGUCAAAUCAUAGAUCGGAACAAAGGGGUUGGCACACUAUGAUUUGGUCCUUAUUAGACAUAAGGUAUGCCUUAUUUCUCCCUUUAUGCACGAGUUUAGUAUGUUGGGAAAUCUUUUGUCUGAGAACAACCAUCUUGAGCCUUUGAUAUCUUAUAAUUAAUGAUUAAUAUUCUAUCUUAGCAUGUUAUGUGAGUAUUAUGAUUGGAAAGCUUGGACUAGUCAUAUAAGCUAUAAACUUGAAAUAGGCCAAUAGUUCUAUAUUGAGAUAAUUGAGUGUUUGUGUCCACUUUUAUAUGAGUUAAAGACGCAAGACAUAUGUAUAAGUAUUUUGAUUUUAGAUCUAUGAUCUUAGAUUCAAAAUACGAAUCCGUUUGAUAUGGUUAAAUCAAGAAAUAUGGCAUAUGUUAGAGUUAUACCUGUGAUUACAUAAGCAUUAUGAAAUAUAUGAAAUUGUUAUUAUUUGUGGGGUGUUUUAUGACAUGAGAAUUUAUGAGAUGUAUCUUGAAUAUGUCAUUAGCAUUGGCUAGUCCUUAUGAUGCCUCAAACUACAUGUUUUAUUAUUUUGAGCUUUCCUAGAUGCCAAGAUAAUGUCAUGAUCUGUAUUAUCAUUUUGUGAAUACUUAGUUAUGCAAUAUAAUUCUUAUGUGUACAAGUGAGUAUAGAAAUUUUUUAUGAAUGGUAUAUGACGAUUAUUACAUAGCAUGUAGGGCUCAUUGGUCAUGAAAAAAUGUUUUCUUGUAAGAUUUUCCUUAAAGUUGCAUAUUUUUCACCAUUUUAGAAAUUGAGAACAACUGAAGCAAAAAGGGAUUCAUUGCGUUAAUGUUACCCAAUCAAUUAUUGAAAAAUAAAAAGUCUAACAUAGAGGUGCCCAGUAACUUUCACAAGCGGCAUUUUUCCAAGUGACUCAAGUCUUUCAGUGUGGCGCAAAAUCAAUACAAUGAUAGUUAUAGUGCAGCGGAAGAAAAUGGCUCAUAGGUUUAUAAAAAGAUCAAUUUCAAAUACGAGGUCAUUACGUUUUUUCCACAAAUCAAUCUUAUACAGCGCCUUUUCUAAAAUUUUCAAUAAGCAAAAUUGAUAUUAGAUAUAAAUUUUCCAAAAUCAAGACCAAGGUUUUCUUUGAGGAUGGUUUUACUACUUGAUUGAUCAAUGAUGCUCCCACUAAAACCAACAAGCUUGUCUUUCAAAAUAACUUGAAUUUACGGUUUUGGAAAUACAACUUUCUUUUAAGGAAUACUUUAAAGGUCUAAAAAAGAACACUAUUCAAAGAGACUCCAAAAGAUUAUGAUACACAAUUAUGUGGUCAUAGGAUAAUGCUAAACGAGUCUUUUUAGGGCGAUCAUCCAAAAGUGAAAGUAAUAUGGAGUUUUCCAUUGUCAUAACCCCAGUUUUCCAUAGUAAUACAUAAAAUGGGGUAGGUUCUCCUUUGGUUUAUAACGUCAUCUUUUGCUAAAACAUUUGAAAUCCGGAGAUCCUUGUUUAGAAAAAGAAGUGUUUUUGUUUUUAUUUUGAAGUUGUUUAACUGUAGAAAAACAAGUUUUUAAAUCAAAUUCCCUUUCAUGAUUUGUUCUCAAUUAUCACAUUCCUUGCAUAAGAUUCAUUUUGAUUCGGUUUGUUCUCAAUUUGAAAAAUAGUGAAAAACAUGCAACUUUAAGGAAAAUUUUAUUUCAUACAUGAAAACUCUUGUGCGAUCGUGUCCGUUCCUAUACGAUCUAGUCUUUUUUUCUGUUAUUACUCGAUCCUAUCCUGAUUUGACCUCUAAUUCUGUAGCUCAUCUUAGAAUCCUUUAAUCGAUAUCUACCCAAUCGUUUAAUAGAAUCAUGUUGGGAUCUAAGCAUCACAAAGUAUUCACGAAAGGGGAAUAUGAUAAUUGACUUUAUUAUCUUGACAUCUAUGAAAGCUCAAAAAGGUAUAAAGCAUGGAGCAUGAAACAACAUAAGGAUUAGUCAAUGCAAAUGACAUAAUCAAGAUACGUCUCAAGAGUUCGCAUGUUAUAAAACAGGCCACAAACAAUAACCAUUCCACAUGUAUCAUAAUACUCAUCUAAUCACAUAUAAUUCUUACAUAUGUUAUUUUUCUUGAAUUAGCUACAUCCAAUGGAUUGGUAUUUUAAAUUAGAGAAAAGAGAUCUAGAAUAAAAAUACAUGUAUAUUCUAUGUAUCGACUCAUAUUAGAGUGUGCACAAGCACCCAAAUAUUUCAAUAUGGAAGUAUUGACAUUUUUCAAGUUUAUAGCUUAUGUGACUAGCCCUUGCUUUCCAAUUAUAAUAAUCGUGUAAUAUGCUAAGAGAUACUAUUAAUCAUCAUAUGUUAUACCAAGAUAAUCCACCAAUCAAUAACCAUAAGAAAUCAUGGAGUGAAGUUUGUUUCUCUUGAAACAAUAAUUUGGCAAAAUAUUAGAGUUAUGCAUAAAAAGGUAAGGAAUAAUACCUUGUGAUCCCAUAGCUACGUCUUGUGGAGUGGCAAGCCUUUGCUUUCGAUCUCUGAUUUAUUUUCAUCUUCUCUUUCCCUUUUUUGUCAUUGUGCUCAUGGUCCAAUCUAUCGUAAUGUAUCUUUGGCCUUAUUGAGAAUAACAUCAUACACUUUUUGAAAGAAACUCGGAUCUUGACCAAUAUUCGGGUAUCGGGUAUUAAAUCUUAUAUUCAUGACUCAGUGGGAUUUAUACAGUCAUCCCACUGAUUUAAUACACUCUAUGAAGGCAUAAAACUUAUAACAACUGAUUCUCUAUAAUUGGAUUACAUUAGAGUAUAAGAUAUCUAUACCCUACUUACACUUAGAAUGUUGCUCAUGUAGUUUUUUUGGUUUUUCAGGAUGUGCAUCAUUCAAUCAUAUGGACAUAACUUUAAAUUUAUUCAAAAUUUACUCAUGGGACUUCUUCUCAGUUAUAAUAGGCUCAAAAUAGAAUAAAUUACAUUAAGUGGGUAUAUGAAAUAAUGGACCAAAAGGACACAAAUAGCUUGUGUCUCAGAGAGUUAAGUUUUGCAGUGUAUACCAGAAAACACAGGCUGACACACCUCUGAUAAAAUGACCAUUUCUCAUAAAAUAUGAGGAAUUUUUUUAUGAGCCCAAUUUUACAUGGAACUAGAUACAAUUCCUCAAAAGAGAAACUCGGCCCAAACUCAAGAUUAUAAGUUUUGAUUGCUCAAAACCCCCACAUACAAAAGUGCAAACUUCCUGAAAAUAACUAUACAGAUCAGACACUCU